rnacentral:rRNA from 1 species
CCUACGGGAGGCAGCAGUGGGGAAUAUUGCACAAUGGGGGAAACCCUGAUGCAGCGACGCCGCGUGAGCGAAGAAGUAUUUCGGUAUGUAAAGCUCUAUCAGCAGGGAAGAAAAUGACGGUACCUGAGUAAGAAGCUCCGGCUAAAUACGUGCCAGCAGCCGCGGUAAUACGUAUGGAGCAAGCGUUAUCCGGAUUUAUUGGGUUUAAAGGGUGCGUAGGCGGAAUAUCAAGUCAGCGGUAAAAAUUCGGGGCUCAACCCCGUCGUGCCGUUGAAACUGAUGUUCUUGAGUGGGCGAGAAGUAUGCGGAAUGCGUGGUGUAGCGGUGAAAUGCAUAGAUAUCACGCAGAACUCCGAUUGCGAAGGCAGCAUACCGGCGCCCAACUGACGCUGAAGCACGAAAGCGUGGGUAUCGAACAGGAUUAGAUACCCCUGUAGUC